rnacentral:rRNA from 1 species
UACGUAGGGAGCAAGCGUUGUUCGGAUUUACUGGGCGUAAAGGGCGCGUAGGCGGCAAAUUAAGUCAGCUGUGAAAUCUCCGAGCUUAACUCGGAACGGUCAGCUGAUACUGAUCUGCUAGAGUGCGGAAGGGGCAAUCGGAAUUCUUGGUGUAGCGGUGAAAUGCGUAGAUAUCAAGAGGAACACCUGAGGUGAAGACGGGUUGCUGGGCCGACACUGACGCUGAGGAGCGAAAGCGUGGGGAGCGAACAGG